AUCAUUGCCGAGAGCCGGGUGAAAACUUCCUGCUCUGCGCGCCCGCCGGACUCAUUCUGACUUUUUACCCCUUUGUCUCUACGCCUUCCUCGCUGCCACUUAAGCGAUGAAGAUGAGCAAAGUGGGAAACCAAACAAACUCUCAAGAUCCACAGGCAGUUAAUUCGAGAGUUUUCGUGGGAAAUCUCAACACGUUUCAAUGUAGCAAAACAGACGUCGAAAGGAUGUUUCAGCGUUAUGGCAGACUAGCGGGUAUUUCGAUGCAUAAAGGCUAUGCAUUCGUACAGUUCACAAAUCCUUUCGACGCUCGAAGCGCGUGCCUGGGAGAAGACGGACGAACGGUUCUCAGUCAAAUACUCGGUAAGUUACACGCAUUAUUCAUACAUACCCCUGGUAUAUAUUAGCAAUAUGGAUCGGUCAAACACCACCGUCAAAGACCGACCGAUUUUGUAGAUAUUUCUGGUACCCUUUCAAAACGUUACGACUAACUUUCAAAAGUGCGAGCAUAAAGGGAACGAGGGGCAAAAUAAUAGA